CCUACGGGGGGCAGCAGUGGGGAAUAUUGCACAAUGGGCGCAAGCCUGAUGCAGCCAUGCCGCGUGUGUGAAGAAGGCCUUCGGGUUGUAAAGCACUUUCAGCGGGGAGGAAGGCGUUAAGGUUAAUAACCUUGUCGAUUGACGUUACCCGCAGAAGAAGCACCGGCUAACUCCGUGCCAGCAGCCGCGGUAAUACGGAGGGUGCAAGCGUUAAUCGGAAUUACUGGGCGUAAAGCGCACGCAGGCGGUCUGUCAAGUCGGAUGUGAAAUCCCCGGGCUCAACCUGGGAACUGCAUUCGAAACUGGCAGGCUAGAGUCUUGUAGAGGGGGGUAGAAUUCCAGGUGUAGCGGUGGAAUGCGUAGAGAUCUGGAGGAAUACCGGUGGCGAAGGCGGCCCCCUGGACAAAGACUGACGCUCAGGUGCGAAAGCGUGGGGAGCAAACAGGAUUAGAUACCCCAGUAGUC
rnacentral:rRNA from 1 species